rnacentral:lncRNA from 1 species
AUGAGGUGUGGAUUCCCCCCUCAUGAUUUAAUUGGUAUUAAUAAAGAAUAUUUAGCCCAUGAUGCAUGUUGAUACAGAUCCAGAUACCCAAGUACGUCAAUUUAAUAGAUUUUCACUUCAAUUUAUUCUUACCAUCUUAAUUCGAAUUUUAGGAUAAUCCAAAUCAUUUUCACCACAAAUCCAACCACCCAUUUACAAAAUUGAUUCUACACACAAUUAAAAUCCACCUCCUCGUGGGAUCGACACUCAUCACCAUUGAUCUAUACUACAAUAGAUUCGUGCACUUGCGAGUUCAAUAAAAUUUGCACAACAGCGAUCCAUGAAGAGACUUCUUAACUUCUUGUUCUUGAGAUGUGCGUGUACCGUGUGCGUGAACCGUGACCGUGAGGGGGCAUCGAGCAGGCUGUGGCCGCUACUGUUGAUCAACGGCAUGCUGUGAGUAUGAGGGAGGUUGUGACUAAUCUGUGAGGGUAGUGAGUGUUGUGACUUGUGUUGUGUGUGUUUUGCCGUUUUGUGUAAUGUGUGAUUGUGUAUUGUCAAUUGUGUAAUUGAUCUGUUUGUGUGUGGUGUAUGGGUAAUUUGAUUUGUUUAUGUGCUGUGUGUGAUGGUGUGUGUUGAUGUUCUUUUUUUUUUUAAUGCAACCCGAUCCGAUCCGAACCCAAAAUUUUUCGGAUCGGUUCGGGUCAGAUUGGAUCGGAUCGGGUAUUUUGCCCACCCCUAACUGGUGGGGACUCAGAACCCACUGAAAACCUAAGAAUUGUGAUUGUGCAAACGUCUUCAAUAAAUUGUCAUCAUGGGCCCAAUAAACAAUACUCAAGAGCCAAAAAAUUUUUUACCCUUAAAUUCUGACCCCCAACAAUUGUAAAUACAAAUUACAAGAGUUGGGCUUUCCACCUAAAAUUUAAUCCUAUUUUGAUUUUUAAAUAAGUCACAAUGGCCUAAUUUUUAAUGGUUGGAUCUUACAUUUAUCCAAUUCCCCCAUGUGUGCAGUACCCAUAGAAAUUUCAUAAACUUUUUUUUCUUGGUAUCUUGUAAUAUACAAAAGACUAAAUGUGGUGGCAUAGCACACAAUUGUACCUAACUCUAAGCCCUCAAACAAUCAGUAUGUUGUCUUCUUCAUUGGGCGAAGCAAUAAGGGGCUAGAACAUUUGUGCUUGUUCCACUUGGGGGAUGGGCGUGAAGGGUACAAUGGUAAAUUGAAUUUUGCACGACACUAGUUGCGUAUGUAAAUGGCAUAAGGGUGGUAAUGGAUCGGAUCUAACACAUCAUCCAUAUGAUCCAAGUUAAAGCUUAUUGUCCGGAUUGCGGUAGGUCAAAAUUAAAAGGACUCUGCUUGGAUUCAGAUAUCUUUAAAGUGUGGAUAUAAGUCAGGUUAGGAUAAAUUAUGCGUCAAUCGUAGUAUCCACAUCCACAUUGUUAUGCACUAAGCUUAAAGUCCAUUAACGUUUCAUGGUUCAUCAGCUUAGCAUUAAUACUAGCUUUACCUGAACAUUAUUAACAACAUAUUCGUCUUUGCUUACACUAACCAUGUAGUCACCAAUCCUUGAACCCGAAGGUUAGAAUGUCCAUUGUAAGUGACGAUAUAAAAUAAGUAAUUAUAAGUAAGGUACAAUUACUACAGGCGGCAUAAUUUUUCAUUGUGCAUUCUACCUUUGGUCAUUAACUCUAAUUGAAUGCUCAAGUGGUAAGUGUAUUAACUACCCGAAAAAUCUGUAGAUUUGAGUAUCGUAAACGAUUAUCUUCUCACAACCCAAUAGUACGAUGAUACUAAACGGUGGCCAUCUACCAUGACAUAUGUUUUUUUAACAUAGAUGGAAUUAAUACAGUGUGUAUUUAUUAAAUUUUCUUGGCAAAUUGAAGAACUUAAGUUGAUAUAAAAACAAUUAACUUUUUCAAUUCCUUGCGUACAAAUUAUUAUUGUUUUAUUAUUUAAAUUGCCAUAAUUACUGACAGAUGGAGACCGAAGGUGGAUUUUAACUAAAUUACAGUUGGGAACAAUUACGAUGUUUAUGAUUUCAUAAUUAAUUUGUACGUGGAUCGAAAACAAUGAACUAUUGUGGAUAUAGAGCAUUUGCCGUAUAUGACAUUAGCUUGUAGAUAUAGAUGUGGAACAAAGUAGGUCUAAUCACUCUCACUGCCUUGUUGCCAGCCCUAGUAAGAGCGUUGGUGUUGAUAUUUUCAAGGACCAUAGGGAACUCAAUUCCCCAUUGAAAAACAAUAUUUCAUGAAAUAUUUAAAUACCGGAAUGUAUCCUAAAGUUAUAAAUAAAAUGUCAUAUAUAUUAAAACCUAUAUAACCCCCCCCCCCCCAACAGAAAUAAUGUAAAAUAUGUAUUCUCAAACUCGAGCAUUGCACACUGAAAAGCAGGCCUAUAAAUAUUAAUAUAUACAUUUUUUCCUAAAUUGAUAACCCGCACGCUCAUUAAAAAUUAAUCUUGACAUUUUUUUUGUACUGUGCCUUUUGCAUAUGAAAGAGGCUAAAAUUAAAGUGACAUGGCACACUAACUCAUCAUAUUUCCAUGACCCCAAGCAAUCUAGAAUAUGUUGUGUCCAACCUAGUAUAGAAGGGUAGAUAGUAAAUAAAAGAGACAAAGGAGGCAAUGAAUAAGUAUAAACAAAGAUUCCAAGCAUACGUGUUCAAUGGAGAAUGAGAGAGUGACCAAAGAAAUGGGGUCACAAUGUUAUUGUCUCAACUACCAAGCAAUUGUUCCCUAGAAAUUUGAAGCUGACAAAGCACAAGAGUUAAUUAAGGCAAUGAAUAUAUUAGAAAACAACAAGAUUCCUGUUGUGAAAAAUUUUAGUAUACUCGCAAGCACGCGAAUCUAGAAAUAGAAUAGUGGCAACGAGGUUGAACCCACAAUGAUUGUUAUAAAUCAAAAAGUCUAGUUUAAAUCUAAAAUUAAUAUUAAUCCUAACCUAGUUGAGCAAAUUGAGUUUUUAAGAGAAAUUAAGCUAAUUAAACUAAGAAAACAAUUAAAGCAAAUGAAAAUUCAAUAAGACAAAAGUUACCAAGGUUUUAGAAUCCACCACUAUUCAAUUAGUAAUUAUCUAAUUAUUAAUUAAUCCCUAAUUUUAGAGUGACAACUCGAAAUCAAUCUAUAUCAUUUCAUGGAUAUAACAAUUAAGCCCAAAUAAAAUUAAUCUUGUAUAGGUUCUUUUUCUACUUAAUAGUAUGAUAUCUAAGCAUCUCAUGUGAGCAUAUUGAAUGACAAAGAGUCAAAGUUUUUCUACGCACUCUAUAUAAACAAUUUAAUGAAAGACGUAGAAUCAAAGAUAAUCAUAUAUAGACUUCAUAGAUCCAAGCAUAAAUUUAAUCGAAUAUUAAUCCAAACAAUCAAUCAUGGAUGACAGAAUUGGUGAAAAGAUUUAAUAACAUUCAACUAAUUAUGUGAAACAAGAACUAUAAACAUUAAAGAACAUAUAUAGGGAAUUAAUUAAAUAAAAAGAUAAUUAUUUCAUUGAAUAGAGUUUCAUCCUUAACCUUAGUAUAAGAAAAUUAGCUAGACAUACUUGAAUUGGGAGCAACAAAAUUAAUAAAAUCAACCAUGGGAAGCCGAACUGUACUGCUCUUCCUUUUUCCUCUCUGCCGAAUACUCUCUUUGUGCGUCUAGCGGCUCCCCUUUCAAAAGCCAAAGUUAGCUUUUAUAAUUAGCUAAAAUGGGCCACCAACCUUGUCAAUUUUAAAGCCAAAGGCCAAGCCUUUUAAUUUGUUUUGCUCUCACACGUAAUCGUCACUUAGAAUUGCAGUAGGAUUCCUUUUUCCACUUAUGAAAGCCAAGCGCGGGUCCUUUUAAAUUGCUUCCCAUAUAUUACAAUGACAUGCAUGUGCAUUCCAAUUAACCAAAAGCCACCUAGUUACGUUGUGGUUAAAUUCUUCUUCACGUGCUGAAUCAAUUAAUUUACUAGCUUCGGUUUCCUCGGCUUCACUUCCAUAUGCAUAUAUGUCUAAUUGCUUUCAAAAUCAAUUAAAUAACACUUCCAAAAUUGAGCUCUUUUAUGCCUUUUUUUAUCCAUAAUCUCUAAUUAAUUUCCUAUUCAAUAAAAUAAUUCAAUUAAUUAAAAAUAA